rnacentral:tRNA from 1 species
UCCCCAGUAGUCCAGUGGUUAAGGCUGUGUACUUCCAAUGCAGGGGACAUAGGUUCGAUCCCUGCUUGGGGAA